AUUGAACGCUGGCGGCAGGCCUAACACAUGCAAGUCGGGCGGUUGCAGGGAGCUUGUUCCUGGAUUCAUCGCCGGACGCGUGCGUAAUGCCUAGGACUCGGCCUGGUAGUGGGGGAUAACGUCCGGUAACGGGCGCUAAUACCGCAUCCGCCUUGCGGGACAAAGUGGAGGAUCUUCACCCCUCACGCUCUCACAUUCGCCUAGGGCGGAUUAGCUAGUUGGUGGGGUAAAGGUCUACCAGGGCAACGAUCCGUAACUGGUCCUAGAGGGUGAUCAGUCACACUGGAACUGAGACACGGUCCAGACUCCUACGGGAGGCAGCAGUGGGGAAUACUGAAAAAUGGGCGAAAGCCUGAUCCAGCCAGGCCGCGUGUGUGAAGAAGGUCUUCGGAUUGUAAAGCACUUUAAGUUGGGGGGAAGGGGAGUAGGUUAAUACCUUGCUGUUUGGACUUUACCGACAGAAUAAGCACGGGCAAACCUCGU
rnacentral:rRNA from 1 species